UAAACGGUAGCAGUGUCUACCUAGAAGACUGUUACCUAGAAGAGCCUAGAUAAACCUUUAAAGUUGACUCUACCGUUCAAGACCAGAGGUGCUAGGGAAAGCAGAGGACCUUCGUGAUGUGUGGAGAGAAUAAUAAAGCAGGUGCUGUGAAUUGUCGGCGCUGUGCCUCUAUGGAGCCAGGGGCACCGUGCAGUCCACCUAGACACAAGUGCACAGCCAUCAAGGAUGAGCAAGUCUGCUUCACUUACAGAAUCAUGAAGGGUCAAGAGGUACAGCAAUUGAUACGGGGGUGUACAGAGAAAAGAAACCUGAGAUGUUCAACUAGAUGGACGGAUCCAAGUGUUCAACUCCAAUAUGAAUUUCUAUGCUGUUCUGAAAAACACAUGUGCAACAGACUCAAUUAGAUCAUCUGAAAGUGU